rnacentral:rRNA from 1 species
UACGUAGGUGGCAAGCGUUAUCCUGAAUUAUUGGGCGUAAAGAGCGCGCAGGUGGUUGAUUAAGUCUGAUGUGAAAGCCCACGGCUUAACCGUGGAGGGUCAUUGGAAACUGGUCGACUUGAGUGCAGAAGAGGGAAGUGGAAUUCCAUGUGUAGCGGUGAAAUGCGUAGAGAUAUGGAGGAACACCAGUGGCGAAGGCGGCUUCCUGGUCUGUAACUGACACUGAGGCGCGAAAGCGUGGGGAGCAAACAGGAUUAGA